ACAUGCCUACAACAUAGUGUUAAUGUAUCGGAUACCAUUAGAACUCCAUAGUUAAGCGCACUCAGAACAAAGAAGUACUGGAAUUGGUGACUGCCCGGGAAGUCCUAGUGUUUUACAUGCC
rnacentral:rRNA from 1 species